GGCUUAGGAGAGCAACUCCUAUUGACAUCAAAGAGAAUAUGGAGAAAUUAGAAAUGAUGGAAAAAGAGUUAAUAGAAGAAUUUGGUAACCAUAAAGCCCAGAAUAUUGGCAAAGGAAAAGGGAAAGAAAAAGAGGCUUCCACUGC